UGCUUAACACAUGCAAGUCGAGCGAUGAAGUUUCCUUCGGGAAACGGAUUAGCGGCGGACGGGUGAGUAACACGUGGGUAACCUGCCUCAUAGAGUGGAAUAGCCUUCCGAAAGGAAGAUUAAUACCGCAUAAUGUUGAAAGAUGGCAUCAUCAUUCAACCAAAGGAGCAAUCCGCUAUGAGAUGGACCCGCGGCGCAUUAGCUAGUUGGUGGGGUAACGGCCUACCAAGGCGACGAUGCGUAGCCGACCUGAGAGGGUGAUCGGCCACAUUGGGACUGAGACACGGCCCAGACUCCUACGGGAGGCAGCAGUGGGGAAUAUUGCACAAUGGGGGAAACCCUGAUGCAGCAACGCCGCGUGAGUGAUGAAGGUUUUCGGAUCGUAAAGCUCUGUCUUUGGGGAAGAUAAUGACGGUACCCAAGGAGGAAGCCACGGCUAACUACGUGCCAGCAGCCGCGGUAAUACGUAGGUGGCGAGCGUUAUCCGGAUUUACUGGGCGUAAAGGGAGCGUAGGCGGAUGAUUAAGUGGGAUGUGAAAUACCCGGGCUCAACUUGGGUGCUGCAUUCCAAACUGGUUAUCUAGAGUGCAGGAGAGGAGAGUGGAAUUCCUAGUGUAGCGGUGAAAUGCGUAGAGAUUAGGAAGAACACCAGUGGCGAAGGCGACUCUCUGGACUGUAACUGACGCUGAGGCUCGAAAGCGUGGGGAGCAAACAGGAUUAGAUACCCUGGUAGUCCAUGCCGUAAACGAUGAAUACUAGGUGUGGGGGUUUCAACACCUCCGUGCCGCCGCUAACGCAUUAAGUAUUCCGCCUGGGGAGUACGGUCGCAAGAUUAAAACUCAAAGGAAUUGACGGGGACCCGCACAAGUAGCGGAGCAUGUGGUUUAAUUCGAAGCAACGCGAAGAACCUUACCUACACUUGACAUCCCUUGCAUUACUCUUAAUCGAGGAAAUCCCUUCGGGGACAAGGUGACAGGUGGUGCAUGGUUGUCGUCAGCUCGUGUCGUGAGAUGUUGGGUUAAGUCCCGCAACGAGCGCAACCCUUGUCGUUAGUUACUACCAUUAAGUUGAGGACUCUAGCGAGACUGCCUGGGUUAACCAGGAGGAAGGUGGGGAUGACGUCAAAUCAUCAUGCCCCUUAUGUGUAGGGCUACACACGUGCUACAAUGGCUGGUACAGAGAGAUGCAAUACCGCGAGGUGGAGCCAAACUUAAAAACCAGUCUCAGUUCGGAUUGUAGGCUGAAACUCGCCUACAUGAAGCUGGAGUUACUAGUAAUCGCGAAUCAGAAUGUCGCGGUGAAUACGUUCCCGGGUCUUGUACACACCGCCCGUCACACCAUGAGAGUUGGCAAUACCCGAAGUCCGUGAGCUAACCGCAAGGAGGCAGCGGCCGAAGGUAGGGUCAGCGAUUGGGGUGAAGUCAUAACA
rnacentral:rRNA from 1 species